UCAAGAAGAUAAAUAAUAUACAUAUAUAUAUAUAUAUGUAUCUACAUAAAGGAAUUGCAAAGGAUCGAUCGAUCAUCAAAAACAGAUGUCCUUCUUCUUAUCUACGUAGAAGGGGAGAGGGAAAAAAAAUUGAGUGUCCACUUUCAUCGCCUGAAAUCGACGUUUACGUUCGACCAGAUAAUAAAAGGGAACUUCCUCUGUCUCUGUCUCUCUCUCUCUCUCUCUCUCUCUCUCUCUCUCUCUCUCUCUUUCUAACAAUGUUAUCAUAAGCACGGAAGGAUCGUUUUGCUUCUCUUAUCGGAUUUCCCUUGGAGAGAUAUCCGAACACUCGCUGUUCUCCGAUCGAGAUUCUCCUCGUUCUACGGUUUCCAUGGUGCUGCUAAGGGGAGAACUCGCGGCUACGAGCAAGGAAAUUGAAUUUUCCUCUUUAAUUAAGCUACCAGGACGAAGAAUAAGAAGAAAGAAAGGAAGAAAGGAAGGAAGGAAGGAAGGAAGGAAGGAAGGAAGGAAGGAGGGCACUUGAUAUGUUAAAAUUUCGAAAUCUUAACAAGAAACUCGAGAAGGGUCUCUGUUUUUAUUCGCUCGACAAAUUUCCUCUGAAGUCCAUUAAAACGGAAGGGAAAAAUAGAAGAAGAAGAAGAAGAAGAAGAAAAAGAAAAAAGAAGCCGAUAACCCUACAAGUUCUCUCUCUCUAUCUCUCUAUUUCUUUUUUCUCUUCUAUCGACCUAAAUAGGAACAUAAAACGUAAGUACACCUAAUAAGUUGAAAUACGUGGAAGUAUGAUGAUCUUCCAAUCGAGGGUAAGCUGAGCUUUCGUUUAGACUUUCUGCGCAUUCGUAUGCGAUAAGGAAAGGAAGAAAUUAAAACAAUUCAUUUUAUUCUUAUUAAUUACAAAUUCUGACUGAUGAUCUCUUAAAAAGUAAAGAAAAGAAAAAAAAAAGCAACGACAACAACAACAACAAAGAAAAUAAUACAUACACUUAAUCAUUUCGAAUAAUAAUGUUUCUUUUUCGCAGGGAAAAAAAAUGUUGAAUGCACGUAGUAUGAUGACGGAUUAAAGCAAAUUUUCUAGGAUCCCGCUUUGUGGUAGUUUCGUUAGUUUUACUCAUGAAGUACUUUUUGAAGAUGAGAGUUUUUGGUCUACGUUAAGCCUCGACGAUGAGUGAGGCCGUACGAUGUACACAGAAGACCCACAAGAGGAUGAAACAACGAACGUUACGUUGAUGACGUUGAACUAGAAAAUAUUCGAUCAUUAUUCUCGUGACACAGCCGAUUCCAACGUUAGACGUUACGUGACGAUAAGAAAGAUUAUAUAGACGUCUAGACUGACUCUCUCUCUCUCUCUCUCUCUCUCUCUCUCUUUGUCUCUCUCAUUCUCUUUAUAGACUAGGAAGAAAAAGCAAGUGGAUAAGAUCAAGCCGAGGCACGAUAAUUAAGUCGUCCUUUCUAAAGCACGCGUCUUUUGCAUCGAUGAAUCAACACUUUCAAGAAACCCUGAACGAGUUCAGUUCGAAGGACACGUUGAUUUUGAUUAUGAAAAUGAUGAAAAGAGACUAAUGAAGAUAAUAUACAGGGUGACUCUAAAUCAUUCCCUAUAAAUUAUAUAUAUAUAUAUGUAUAAAAAAAAUAUAUUAGAGGAGAAAAAAUCGUUGCAUAUUUAUAGAAAAAUAUUACAUUCAUAAUUCGUAUUUAUGGAGACAUAAAUAAAGAGAGAAAGAGAAAGAUAUAUAAUGGGACUAAUGAAGUGAAUGCACAGGGUGAUCAUAAGUUCUUUAUAAAUCCUGUAUAAAAUAGAACAUAAAGGAUCGUUCAUAUACUAUGAAAAGGACCACUUUCAUAAUCGUAUUUCUUGAAACGUGAAGACAGAACGAGAAAGGGAAAGGGAAAGGAGAAUGAGAAAGAGAAAGACAGAGAAAGAGAGAAAUAGUUGGUCGAGUCUCCAAUAUUAUACUCGUACGAGAGAUCCCCAAGAGUCUCACGGUGUUCUCGUCUGGUAAGAAAAUACGUCCUGAACGAGAAUGGUUAGAGGUAGGAGUAAAGAAGUAGGGGUGGGUUUUGUGGAUCGCCGAGUAAGAGGGAGUACGAAGACGAAGGGAGAGAAAGAGAAAGAGAUAGAUAGAUAGAGAAAGAGAGAGAGAGAGGAAGAGGAGAAAGAGAGAAAAUCGUCGAAGCGAAAACGAGCUUGCCGACGAGACGGCGAACGAUGGGAAAUUUUUAAACGAGUUAUCUCAAGUCCGUCCGAUUGCACCGCUUCGACGAUCGAAUUAGCCGAAGCUAGCUAGGUCUAUCCGACACGAGCUAUACCGGAAUGAUUCGAUUAGAGGACGAUCGCUAUGUAUCGCAUGAUGCAGCCUGACGAUGAACGCGGGACGAUAUUUGACGAGGAAACUAACAUUCGAUUCAAACGUAUUAUCAUCUUCCUUUGGAUUAUGUACUAUAGACGUAUCCCUGUCGACCUAUAUAUCUCAUCGUGGCGUACCCCUUUCCGACAAGAUGACUUUUACGAGUAACAUCGACAAUGUUUUCCGUCUACGACAGGUCUGAUCGAAUAAAUACGAUAAAAUAUUUUAAUCUUAACAAUUACGAUAUAAUACUUAAUCGAUCUAUAAAUAUUCUGAUGUAAAUCGUUAUCAUCUUUGCAAUUAUAUGAUCUAUAAAAAUUUUUCGAAGAUUACUUUUUACUCGAUGCCAAAAGCGUGACCACUCGUUAAACAAAGAGGAAGGAGGUCUCUUCUACUCGACUAACCCAACAGCAUCCCUACGAUCGAGCAAGCAACUUGCUACUAGAAGGUUAUCGUGUUACUUCGGAUCCGCCUUGUACUUAGUUUUCUCAGCGUAUCGUUUCGCACGAAGAUUUUAACCUCAAACAGACGUUUACUUUCUUUUCGGUGAAAAAAGGAUCAAUCGAAAUAUGUGAAACUUAAUGCGAGGGAGUUAUUAGAAAGGAAGAAAAAGGAAAAGAAAAAGGACACGAAAAAAACGUGCAAUUUUUAUUAGAACGAGAAGAAGAAAGAAAGAAAGAAAGAAAGAAAGAAAAAAAAAGUUACCACUCAACAAAUUAACGUUUACGUUCGUCGUCCAUGAACAUAAUAAAACAAAGAAAGAGACAGAGAGACAGAGACAGAGAGAGAGAGAGAGAGAAAGAGAAACAAAGAGCCCUUUCAUUUCGAGGCCAAAGCAACGAACACGCCCAACGUGCUCGUGAACCGAUAAAUCUUACGAUGGCCUGGAAGAAGAGUGAGAAAACUAUUCUCUCUUUCUUUCUCUUUCUUUCUCUCUCUCUCUCUCUCUCUCUCUUUCUCUCUGUCUCUAUUUCUCUCUUCCUGGCACUCCUCCGAAAAAAGUUGACUUACCCUCCAAACGAACCUAAGAACUACCACACGAUGCAUCCUUGAGAACUCGAAUAACGCCUCCUCCAGUAUAGAUUCAACGUCACACACCAAAAAUUCCAUUCGACCAACUUCGAAAUUCCUUGAAAUAUUGCCAUGCACUUUCUUCAAGGGCACGACAAAGGAUGACGAUGGUUCACCAUCCGAAUAGAAAGAAAUCUGCUCGUUAUUCGAGUAAGAAUGAUAUAUACAUAUGUAUGUAUGUAUGUAUGUAUGUAUGUAUGUAAGAAAAAUUCUUACAAUUUUAUAUAGAAUAAAAUUAUAAGAACGAUUUUGUUUUUUCCUUUUUAAAUAAUGAAUUAUUAUCCUAUUUUCGUAAUGAUUCUUCAUUAUCAAAUGAAGGAUAUCUAGAGCAAAUAUUUAGAUUAAAAUAUUCAAAUAAUGGAGGAAAAGAAGAAAAGAUAGAAAACUUUAUAUACAUAUAUAUAUAUAUAUGUAUGUAUGGGUAUAUCUCCAAGUUAAAGUUAUAUCUACCUCUCGUUAAAUCAACGUAGAUAGCUAGCUAUCUAGAAUCGUUCUAUUCCGUUGUCCUUGUGAACACUGUUGAAUUCUCGAGAAAGUCGAGGAGGUCGUUUGUCUGUAAUUAGUCGACUCUCAGGG